UACGUAGGGUGCGAGCGUUGCCCGGAUUUAUUGGGCGUAAAGGGCGCGUAGGCGGUGAGACACGUUCGUUGUGAAAUCGCCCGGCUCAACUGGGCGGGGUCAGCGGAUACGGUCUCACUUGAGCAAGCUAGGGGGCAAUGGAAUUCCCGGUGUAGUGGUGGAAUGCGUAGAUAUUGGGAAGAACACCGGUGGCGAAGGCGGCGACCUGGUCCAUUACUGACGCUGAGGCGCGACAGCGUGGGGAGCAAACAGG
rnacentral:rRNA from 1 species